GACAGAGGGUGCAAACGUUGUUCGGAAUUACUGGGCGUAAAGCGAGUGUAGGCGGUUUGGUAAGUCGGAUGUGAAAGCCCCGGGCUCAACUCGGGAAGUGCACUCGAUACUGCCAAGCUAGAGUACUGGAGAGGUUGGUGGAAUUCUCGGUGUAGAGGUGAAAUUCGUAGAUAUCGAGAGGAACACCGGUGGCGAAGGCGGCCAACUGGACAGAUACUGACGCUGAGACUCGAAAGCGUGGGGAGCAAACAGG
rnacentral:rRNA from 1 species